UACGGAGGGUGCAAGCGUUAUCCGGAUUCACUGGGUUUAAAGGGUGCGUAGGUGGGCAGGUAAGUCAGUGGUGAAAUCUCCGGGCUCAACCCGGAAACUGCCAUUGAUACUAUCAGUCUUGAAUAUCGUGGAGGUAAGCGGAAUAUGUCAUGUAGCGGUGAAAUGCUUAGAUAUGACAUAGAACACCAAUUGCGAAGGCAGCUUACUGCCCGAAUAUUGACACUGAGGCACGAAAGCAUGGGGAGCGAACAGG
rnacentral:rRNA from 1 species